CGAGCCGGCCGGGCGGUCGCGUUGGUGCCCCUACCAGGGCCCCACCGAGGAACGUCCGGGCUCCACAGGGCAGGGUGGUAGGUAACGCCUACCUGGGGUGACCCACGGGACAGUGCCACAGAAAGCAGACCGCCGGGACCGCGCGAGCGGGACCCGGUAAGGGUGAAACGGUGGUGUAAGAGACCACCAGCGCCCAGGGUGACCUGGGCGGCUCGGUAAACCCCACCCGGAGCAAGGUCAAGAAGGGACCGUCCUCGGACGGCCCCGCGUGAACGCCUGAGGGCUGCCCGCCCGAGGUUCACGGGUAGACCGCUUGAGGGUGAUGGCGACAUCACCCCUAGAUGGAUGACCGCCACCCGGCGCGCACCCACGGGCACGCACCGGGAACAGGACCCGGCGUACAGGCCGACUCGUCCG
rnacentral:RNase_P_RNA from 1 species